UACGAAGGGGGCUAGCGUUGUUCGGAAUCACUGGGCGUAAAGCGCACGCAGGCGGAUCGAUAAGUCAGGGGUGAAAUCCUGGAGCUCAACUCCAGAACUGCCUUUGAUACUGGCGAUCUUGAGUCCGGGAGAGGUGAGUGGAAUUCCGAGUGUAGAGGUGAAAUUCGUAGAUAUUCGGAAGAACACCAGUGGCGAAGGCGGCUCACUGGACUGGUAUUGACGCUGAGGUGCGAAAGCGUGGGGAGCAAACAGG
rnacentral:rRNA from 1 species